rnacentral:rRNA from 1 species
UACGUAGGGUGCGAGCGUUGUCCGGAAUUAUUGGGCGUAAAGGGCUCGUAGGCGGUUUGUCGCGUCGGGAGUGAAAACACACAGCUUAACUGUGUGCUUGCUUCCGAUACGGGCAGACUAGAGGUAUGCAGGGGGAGAACGGAAUUCCUGGUGUAGCGGUGAAAUGCGCAGAUAUCAGGAGGAACACCGGUGGCGAAGGCGGUUCUCUGGGCAUUACCUGACGCUGAGGAAGCGAAAAGUGUGGGGGAGCGAACAGG